rnacentral:rRNA from 1 species
UGGUGGCGAGUGGCGAACGGGUGAGUAAUAUAUCGGAACGUGUCCAAUAAUGGGGGAUAACGCAGCGAAAGCUGUGCUAAUACCGCAUACGAUCUAAGGAUGAAAGCGGGGGACCUUCGGGCCUCGCGCGAUUGGAGCGGCCGAUAUCAGAUUAGGUUGUUGGUGAGGUAAAAGCUCACCAAGCCGACGAUCUGUAGCUGGUCUGAGAGGACGACCAGCCACACUGGAACUGAGACACGGUCCAGACUCC